UAACCAUGGCGGACGGGUGAGUAACGCGUAAGGGACUUACCUGCAGGACUGGGAUAACAGGGGGAAACUCCUGACAAGACCGGAUAAUGUCAUGGAGCUGCAUGGCUUUAUGAUGAAAGGAGACGCCUGCGGAGAGCCUUGCGUCCUAUUAGCUAGUUGGUGAGGUAAAGGCUCACCAAGGCGAAGAUAGGUAGCCGGCCUGAGAGGGUGGACGGCCACAAGGGGACUGAGAUACGGCCCUUACUCCUACGGGAGGCAGCAGUGGGGAAUAUUGGACAAUGGGGGCAACCCUGAUCCAGCAAUUCUGUGUGCACGAAGAAGGUUUUCGGAUUGUAAAGUGCUUUCAGCAGGGAAGAAGGAAGUGACGGUACCUGCAGAAGAAGCGACGGCUAAAUACGUGCCAGCAGCCGCGGUAAUACGUAUGUCGCGAGCGUUAUCCGGAAUUAUUGGGCAUAAAGGGCAUCUAGGCGGCACGACAAGUCAGGGGUGAAAACUUGCGGCUCAACUGCAAGCUUGCCUUUGAAACUGUAGUGCUAGAGUAUUGGAAAGGUGGGCGGAACUACACGAGUAGAGGUGAAAUUCGUAGAUAUGUGUAGGAAUGCCGAUGAUGAAGAUAGCUCACUGGACGAUAACUGACGCUGAAGUGCGAAAGCUAGGGGAGCGAACAGGAUUAGAUACCCUGGUAGUCCUAGCUGUAAACGAUGAUUACUGGGUGUGGGCAGGAAGACUGUCUGUGCCGAAGCAAAUGCGAUAAGUAAUCCGCCUGGGGAGUACGGCCGCAAGGCUGAAACUCAAAGGAAUUGACGGGGACCCGCACAAGCGGUGGAGCAUGU
rnacentral:rRNA from 1 species